rnacentral:lncRNA from 1 species
CACUAUCUCACAGUGACAACGUUGUGCUCCAUUUUACUGGGAUUUUCCAGAGCUUAACGAGCAGGGAAGGGGAGAAGCAGCACAGUCUAGUGAGAGGACACAAGCUCUUCAGAGUCCUGAAUCAGUUUUCUAGCUAUGCAUCUGGUGUGAAAACCGAGGCACAGAAAGAUUAAGCGAUUUGCCCAAGGCUACACAGCUUGUAGUACAGAACCUGUGUGCAAAUCAUUGAGGCUCUUCAGUGUAAGUCAUGUGCUCUAGGGGCAGCGUGACAUGUGGCUGGCUUGAAAGUCACCCUGGCAAGGCACAUGUGGUAUCAGAAAGAGGAAAGGAGAGUUGCUGGAAACAAAGGUAUACUCUUUUCCCAAAUUGCUUCACUCCACAAACGUUUUCCAAGCCAUUUGUGAAUGGCCUUAAUUAAGAAGACUGGAAAUGUGUCUCCUGGAAAGAUCAAGGUAAAUCUCCUUCACAGGCCCCACCCCUAUGCUGUUCUGGGGUCCGAACCUUAGGGGCUAUUGAAAUGCCUGUCCCCAGUAUCGUAAGUGCUGUUUGCCGUUUUGUGUUGCUCUGUAAUUGUUUCAGAUAUUCAAACUCCGCUAGGUUUUGAAUCUUUACAAGCACGGGAAAUUCUCUUCUACUUUAAACAAAAUAUAAGAGGUCAUACCCCGAUCGGGGGCCAGCAAACCUGCC